rnacentral:rRNA from 1 species
CCUGACGCAGCGACGCCGCGUGAGGGAUGAAGGCCUUCGGGUUGUAAACCUCUUUUCUYAGGGAAGAUGAUGAYGGUWCCUGAGGAAUAAGCCACGGCAUACUUUGUUCCCACCGCCCCCGGUAUUA